AUUAAAAUCUUUUUAAGAAGAACAGUAUAGAAUCAGCCAUUUUUUUGUCUUUAAUUUCUUGGUCUUUUAUUUUAUUAUUAUUAUUCAGUUAUCAUUAUUAUCAUUAUUAACCAUUGGUUUUUUUACUUUCUUGUUUUCAUGCAUUAACUCAACCUAGUUUGUGUCUAACUUUCUGGUGAAAUGCAACAUUAUUUCACAACAGCUUUCUGGUUCAUUUUAUUUUAGAUGCUACACUGAAAAGCAGAGAUCAAAGGAAUCUUGGCCAUCAUUCAAUCCAAUCCCCUCACUUCAAAGAUGAAGAAACUGAAUCCCCAGAAUAUGAAGGACUAUCUGCAUUAGAAGCACUUGUUUUAGCAUCCCAGGAGUCUACAUUUCAAACAAGAGCCCCAGGCUCAGUGUCUGAGGAAGAGUGGACCUAACCACCCUGACCUAACUGCAGACCUCAAAUGGCCUCCUGCUGCCUGGAGAAAGGUAAGAAAGAUUAGUGAUGUAAGUUUCUCUAACUACCUUAGUAGAAAGGCCUGAGCCUCAGGGGUCAGCCUGGACCUGCAGGAUGUGGUUUCCCAGGCCAGCCCAGGGCCUCCUCCCCACCCUAUGGUGCUUAAAGUGUGUGUCCAACAAAAGUGUUUUAAAAUUGAUGGUUGAAUGUGACAUUUUGUGAAGUACUAUUUUUUAAGC
rnacentral:lncRNA from 1 species